rnacentral:rRNA from 1 species
AUUGAACGCUGGCGGCAUGCUUUACACAUGCAAGUCGAACGGCAGCACGGGUGCUUGCACCUGGUGGCGAGUGGCGGACGGGUGAGUAAUGCAUCGGAACGUGUCCUAAAGUGGGGGAUAACGCAUCGAAAGAUGUGCUAACACCGCAUAUUCUCUGAGGAGGAAAGUAGGGGAUCGAAAGACCUUAUGCUUUUGGAGCGGCCGGUGUCUGAUUAGCUAGUUGGUAGGGUAAUGGCUUACCAAGGCGACGAUCAGUAGUUGGUCUGAGAGGACGACCAGCCACACUGGGACUGAGACACGGCCCAGACUCCUACGGGAGGCAGCAGUGGGGAAUUUUGGACAAUGGGCGCAAGCCUGAUCCAGCAAUGCCGCGUGAGUGAAGAAGGCCU